CAAUAGCGUAUAUUAAAGUUGUUGCGGUUAAAAAGCUCGUAGUUGGAUUUCUGCCGAGGACGACCGGUCCGCCCUCUGGGUGUGUAUCUGGUUUGGCCUGGGCAUCUUCUUGGAGAACGUAGCUGCACUUGACUGUGUGGUGCGGUGUCCAGGACUUUUACUUUGAGGAAAUUAGAGUGUUUCAAGCAGGCAUACGCCUUGAAUACAUUAGCAUGGAAUAAUAAGAUAGGACCUCGGUUCUAUUUUGUUGGUUUCUAGAGCUGAGGUAAUGAUUAAUAGGGAUAGUUGGGGGCAUUCGUAUUUAACUGUCAGAGGUGAAAUUCUUGGAUUUGCUAAAGACGGACUACUGCGAAAGCAUUUGCCAAGGAUGUUUUCAUUGA
rnacentral:rRNA from 1 species